CGUAAGGCGCCGAAUGAGUCAUUAAAAAAUUAACAUCAUCCGAUCCCUAGUCGGCAUAGUUUAUGGUUAAGACUACGACGGUAUCUGAUCGUCUUCGAUCCCCCUAACUUUCGUUCUUGAUUAAUGAAAACAUCCUUGGCAAAUGCUUUCGCAGUAGUUAGUCUUCAAUAAAUCCAAGAAUUUCACCUCUGACAAUUGAAUACUAAUGCCCCCAACUAUCCCUAUUAAUCAUUACGUCAAUCCUAGAAACCUAACAAAAUAGGAUCGAACGUCCUAUUUCAUUAUUCCAUGCUAAUGUAUUCAAGCGUUAGCCUGCUUUAAACACUCUAAUUUUUUCAAAGUAACAGUCCAGAUUCCCUGCAACACCAAAUUAAUGGCAUUACAGCUCAUCAGGAAGGAGGAAUCAGUGAGACCAGUACAUACCGGAGGCAUGACCAACCUACUAACCCCGAAAUUCAACUACGAGCUUUUAACUGCAACAACUUUAAUAUACGCUAUUGGAGCUGGAAUUACCGCGGCU
rnacentral:rRNA from 1 species